AAAAACAACAGACUAUAGGCCAUGAUAUUUGACACUUUUUUUUUUUAACUUUAAUCACAUCCAGAUACUGAGAAUGAGGAGAAGACAGGGCAGUACCUAGCAGGAUGAAGAAGCUAUGCAAAUAAACAUGGACUAAUCCAUUGCCAUGCACUAUAAUGGAAGGACAUCCUGAUCACUGUGGAGCAGUAGCAACUUUACCUGGGGCCUGCAUGGAUGCAUGCCAGCCUGUCCUGCAGGAUAUAGUCCAGUGAAUAGGAGAAAAAAUGUGUUUGAACUUCGCAUAAUUGCAAUGAACAUAAAGUGACUGCCCACCGAAAGAAAAUGAAGAUGCAUCACUUCAGCUUUUAUAAGAAAGGG